rnacentral:rRNA from 1 species
GAUGAACGCUGGCGGCGUGCCUAAUACAUGCAAGUCGAGCGAACAGACUAUUAUCUUGCUCCUCUUACGUUCUCGUCUUCCUUUUUCGUCACACUUUGCUAACCUACCUCUCCUACUUUUAUAACUUCGGGAACCCUUCUCUAAUACCGGAUACUCUCUUUCACCGCAUGGUUCCAUCGUGCACGACGGUUUUGCUGUCCCUUAUCGCUGGCUCCUCGCCGCAUUCGCUAGUUGGUACGGUAACGGCUUACCAAGGCGACGAUGCGUAGCCGACCUGAGAGGGUGAUAGGAAACACUGGAAAUGAGAAACGGUCAAGAAGCCUACGGGAGGAAGCAGUAGGGAAGCUUCCGCAAUGGGCGAAAGCCUGACGGAGCAACGCAGCGUGAGUGAGGAAGGGAGUAGGAUCGUAAAACUCUGUUAUUAGGGAAGAACAAAGGUGUAAGUAACUAUGCACGUCUUGACGGUACCGAAUCAGAAAGCCACGGCUAACUACGU